rnacentral:rRNA from 1 species
UACGGGAGGCAGCAGGGGGGAAUAUUGCACAAUGGGCGCAAGCCUGAUGCAGCCAUGCCGCGUGUAUGAAGAAGGCCUUCGGGUUGUAAAGUACUUUCAGUCGUGAGGAAGGUGUUAAGGUUAAUAACCUUAGCAAUUGACGUUAGCGACAGAAGAAGCACCGGCUAACUCCGUGCCAGCAGCCGCGGUAAUACGGAGGGUGCGAGCGUUAAUCGGAAUUACUGGGCGUAAAGGGCACGCAGGCGGUUAAUUAAGUUGGAUGUGAAAUCCCCGGGCUUAACCUGGGAAUGGCAUUCAAGACUGGUUAGCUAGAGUCUUGUAGAGGGGGUAGAAUUCCAUGUGUAGCGGUGAAAUGCGUAGAGAUGUGGAGGAAUACCGGUGGCGAAGGCGGCCCCUGGGACAAAGACUGACGCUCAUGUGCGAAAGCGUGGGGAGCAAACGAGGGAUUAGAUACC